UCAAGAUCAAAGUAGACCGCUGAUGGGUGUCCAACUUUUCUGUACCAAUGAAUCGCGCCAUUACAAUAGAACCCAUUAUGAAAGCCGAUUGGUGAGAAUUCGAUAUCCAUACACAGGUCCGUUACAUCUGUUGUUCGUGAAGUCCAGGUAUCAGUCUCUGAUGAAUAUAUAUAAAUUUCAACAAAACUCUUAUUCAGUUUGAUCAUGACGAUGAUCUUGUAGUAUGGCGAUCGUUUAGGAUCAAAAGCGAAGCAAACAAAAACCACGCGAUGCUGAUAAUUAAGGAGAGGAUAAGGAAUUCUCAUUUUUUCCUUCAGAGGACUAGGAAAAGAAAGUUUCUUGAAUUGUCUAGUAGUGGGAUUACAGAGUAAAUAUGCGAUGCCACG
rnacentral:lncRNA from 1 species